CGCAACGCUGUCUUCCUCGGUUUUUCCUCGGCUCCUUCCACCCAUCUCUCCCUCCCUCCCGGGCCCCGGCCACCCUCCGCAUCGGUCGCCGCCGGCCAUCGCCGAUCGCCGCGGAGGAGAAACACAACGCGGAGUUCCCUCAAAGUCAGGGGAAUCGCCCUUCUCCAAGCCACCUGCCGAUGUCGGGAUCUCGCCGGCCAUCUCAGGGCCAAGGGACCCAAAACCCUACGGGGCUAAACCCUCGUCGAGCUCACCUUCCACAGUAUGGCCCCUCAUCCUCGUCCUCGUCGUUCCAUCAUCCCCAAUGUGCUCCCCACUAUCAAGCCGCCGGCCACUACUCAUCUUUCGGGGGCCUCUCUUUCCCCCAAAAUGCCGGUGUUCCGGCACAAAUUGGGGGACAUGGGGAGGGAAGUUUUCUUCAACAGCACCAGCAACAAUACUUUCGUCAAUUCGACGUUACCAUCGCUCAGCAGUUCCAGCAGCAUCCACACGGACCAUUGUUUGAUCCCAAUGUGGGCCACUUGCUUUCCACGAACCAAACAUACCAUGGGGGACAGGUUGCUUUGUCUCAUCCUAAUAGCGUUAUGCCAGUGCCAGGAGAGGAUAGCUUCCCACUGCAGCAGAAUCACCACCAGCAGUAUCAGCAGCACCACCACCAGCAGCAGUAUGAGCAUCAGAAUCGAAUUCAUUUCCAGCACCACCGCCAGCAGCAGCAGUAUCAGCAGCAUCAGCAUCAUAAUCAAAAUCAUCACCAGCAGCAGUAUCAGCAGCAGCAGCAGCAGUAUCAGCAUCAGAACCUGCAGCAGCAGUAUCAGCAGCAGCAGCAGAACCUGCAGCAGCAGUAUCAGCAUCAGAACCUGCAGCAGCAGCAGCAGCAGCAGCAGCAGCAGCAACAGCCGUCUUGGCUUCAGCAACAAGAUGCCAGGCAACGUAAGCGAAAGAUUUCUGUGGGUGGAGUUGGGGAAGGUGCUUCCAAAAGCAGAAAGUUUAGCGCCUUCCAGUUUCCUGUUACACUUGUGCCGCUUGAGGACUUUUUGUCAGCAAACAAGGACGAAAUCAUCGAACAGUUCAGAUUCAGCGCUGGUUCUUUCGUUGGUAACAUUAAUCCUGAGGUAGUUGUUGAUGUGCCUACAGGAACUGGCCUGUCCUUAAUUGGUGGAUAUUUUGAAGAGGUUUCAGUAGCUCAUGAAAGAGGGCUUAGUUGGGCUGGUGACUUUGACAAGCACAUGUUUGUUACUGAAAGAGAACCCACACAAUGUACGAUAAUGAAAGUUCCAUCACACCCAGCCACCCCAGAUAACAUAGAUCAAGAUCACAUCAGCUUAAUGAACUGCCUAUUAUCAUGGUUUGAAAGGAUGGAUGGUCAAAGACCACCAUUUUUCGACGAACUUUUUCAGCGUAUACGUUUUCCAGCAUCUGCUGAAGAUCCUGAUGGACGGGAUAAGUAUCUCUUUGUUCUAAGAAACCAUCCAGCAUUUGCUCGCCCAGCGAAGAGGAGAGGAUUUUUGGAGGACUUCUAUAAAUUCUACAAAACACUUAGCCCAGAGGAGAGAGAGAAAUUUCUGCAAUACACAAACCGUGACUUAUUUGAGUUUAUAUUCCAUCUGCUUGUAAGUGAUGAUAAUUUUCUGUUAGAUAUAUUUUGGAAGAGAAAGGACCUCAGCCUAGAACAAAAGCAAAGUGCUCUCGAAAAAGGCAUGCAGGGCGAGCAAAGACUUCCAUUUACCAGUGAGGACCUAUAUGUUGCUAUCUACCUCCGGCAUUUAAUCGUACAUGGUCCUGAAUACUCACAGGUAGGAGGGAUUAAUGUUGAUAUAUCACUGCUAGAACUUGAUCUCAUUGGGGCCCAACACUUCUCGUGGUUCCUGCCCCAAUUUAUGGAAGCACUUCUGGAAAUGGUUAACAAGUACCCACUCCUGAUGGACUGUUGGAUGACAUAUGUAACUAAAGAGCAACCUCUAUCGCUCUCUUUGUGGACAACGAUGUUAUCAUGAACCGCUGCUCCAACUGGUUGUGUUUUCGAUUCAAUCCCAGAGCAUCCUUGAAGUCAACCUGCUGUCAGUGAGGUCUUUGUUGAGGAUAGCUCACGAGAUAUUCUGUAGGCUUGUACCUAAUGAUUUGCUGUUGCGUCGGUGCUAAGUACAGUAGUUGACUAUCAUAGUUUGAUUAAUCUGUAGAAAUGGUUAGCAAAAAAACCACUGGCUGAUUGUGAUGUGCUGGAAUUCAGUACGAUGCCUUUGAAGAGAAAAAGCCAACUUUUUCCAAAUUUUGUUCGUCAGAGUGAAUGGCCGUCUUAAAUUGAGGUACAUGGCAAUCAGAUUUUAUGUAUACUUAAUAAAUUGGCAUUUUUCCAGUUAUUAGUAAGUUUGCACAGUUUGAUUAUAUUGCGUUGAUAUAUAAUUAGAUGGUGGUAACUUUGAACACUCACUCCUAUCUAAUUCAUAAACUGCAAAUGUUUCGUUGUAUAGUAUACUGAAGGAUCCCAUUGUAAAAGCCAGAGAUUAAUUUGAUUUUAGCAGGACGCUAGAUAAUGCUAUUUUAUAUGUUGGUCUCCACAUAUCUUUGUAUGUACCAAAAUUAAUACUGUGCAAGGGAAGUUUCAGCAUACGCCUUCAGAUUUAGUGGUAUGAAAUAUCGAUAGGAGACACUCAUGUGUUUGUCUUGUUUUGUUUCUCUACAGUCUUGAUGGAUCCUUUUCGAGAUGCCCUCUUCGUGCAACAUAUGGGAAACACAAAGUAGCUACUGGUCAUUUCUGGGACAUCAUGUUCUAUUUCUGAAACAUCACGUAGUAGUAGUAUAGUGUUAUGGUUCUCCUAGUAGUACUCCAGUUAACACGGUAUUCACCACAUGCACGAUGAUGGUAAAGGCUCAGGACGAGCUACAGGCUUGCCGCGCGCCGCAGUCCGUCUAGGACUUUUGUCGGCCGGGUUGUUGGUUCUGUUCGGAGUGGGGCUUUGGUAGUUUGGUCCUCGGUCGGAGUCACGGAGAGCCCCCGAGCGUGUUCCAGGUCGCGGCGACUGUCCAGUGUCCACGACCGACGCCCUGGGUACUUGCAGCUAAAGCCUCAUCUCGAUGUUGAGCUGAGUACUUGCAGUUCAGGAUGCCCCGCCCCUAACCCGCCGGUUCCAGCCGAUCGAUCGUGUUCAUCAAUACAAGCUCGAUGAGAUGAAGAACUGAAGGUUUGUCGAGGGCUUCGGAAGGGAGCAGAACCCCAAAUCCGCCAACCGUCUCUGCAAGUGCCAGCCACGAUGAGUCCUUCAACCCGCCGCCGCGCUACCCGAUGGCCGGCCUCGGUCAUCCUGGCCAACACCGUCGAGGGACGGCCACACGGUGCAGGCCACCAUCUCGUACAUCUGCGCUCCCCUCCCACCCCCCAAAUCUAAACAAGGUGGAUUUCUACUUACAUAGGACAGCGUUCACUCAGGCAACCCGAUCUGUCCAGAUUUCUUCUUCGUCUACUAUUAUUUUAAAUAUCUUCUUCUUGCUACUGGUCUUAUUGUCUUACUACAUGAAUUUUGUCUUCUUUUAAAUAUUGUCUUACAUUCUUUUGACUAGUUCUUCUAAAUAUCUUCUUGCUACUGGUGUAGCUUUGCCAAUUCUCUACGAGAUAAUUAUGACUAUGCUAAUGUUUAUGAACAUAAUGGUUUCUGUAUAGGUCUCGAAACAGCUUAUUGCCAGAUCUCACAAGCAGAUAACAGUAGCACCAGUAAGUACUGUAAUUUAUACUAAUAGUUGCUAUUUCAAAGAGUUUUGACCACCUAAUUCUCUCUCCCUUUUGUGAACACAUCCAUGUGUCGGCUGAAUCAAAUCCGUGUGCAACUGCCAACAAACGUGCAAGGUGAGUUUUCUUUUCUAUAGUUCUACUGUGAGAACUUUCUUCCGUGAUGAUUUCUGUGCACCAACAGUGUGUGUUUGAUUGAUUUUACACUUUCCACAUUUUUUUAAGUAUAUACUACCUCCGUCCCAAAAUGUAAGCAUUUUUAGCUAUGAAUCUGGAAACACAUGGAAUCUGGACAAUGGACACACAUGUGUCCUAUGUGUCCAGAUUCAUAGCUAAAAAUGUUUACAUUUUGGGACGGAGGUAGUGUGUUUUACUGAUAUUGGAGAUGGUAAGAACACAAAGUUCUGGACUGAUAACUGGCUGAACGAAGGAAGCAUCUCUUGGCAAUGGCCAAUCCUUUUCUCAUUUGUGGGACGGUCGAGACUGACGGUGGCCCAAGCCAUGACCAACAAUAGAUGGGUAAGGAACCUGCAGGGCUCGCUAUCUACUGAAGCUAUGGGGCAAUAUUUUCAGUUGUGGGAUACUUUGCAACAGAUCACUCUCAAUCAUGAUGAAGACGAAAUCAGAUGGAAGCCAUCCCAGAGCGGUCUUUUUUCAGUGUCAUCGGCAUAUGAUCUCUUCUUCAUGGCGAGAGAAGCUUGUCCACAUGGAGAACUGAUUUGGAAAACCAAAGCCCCUGCCAAGGUUCGUUUUUUCCUCUGGGUUGCUGCAAGGGGGCGAUGCCUUACGGCCACAUGAGGAGAGCUGUGCUCUAUGUCAGCGAGAACAGGAGGACUGCCAGCACCUAUUUGUCUCAUGUCAGUUUACAGGGCGAGUUUGGACGAUCAUGAAAAACUGGAUCUCCAUCGACUUUCCUCUGCCUGAAAGAAGAAGCGACAGUCUCGCAGCCUGGUGGUUGGAAGCUAGGCAGCAUUUCCGGACGGGCUACAGGGAGCUCUUCGACACUGUUUUCAUGCUCACAUGCUGGUUCAUAUGGAAAGAGCGCAACGGGAGGAUUUUCGAGCACAGAUCAAGAACACCUGAACAGCUAGUGCAUGACAUAAAGGAGGAACUAAUGAUCUGGAAGAUGGCGGGAGUUUUCGCUGAAUGUAGCAACAACGGCAACGGCGAUAGCUGACCUAUCAGUCUGUGUUGUGUUCUGUUUUGUUUUCGCUGAAUGGUAGGAAGGCUCUGCCUCACUGCCGCUGCGACAGCGUUCUGUCGUUGUAAGCAAACAAUUUUCGUUUAUUUUACUCCCAAUCUUAAUGAAAUUGGUCAACCGAACCUUUCGGCCGACCCGGCAAAAAGAACUUGUUACCUCAGGUUGUCUCAUGAGAUAGUCAACCAUGCACAUAGUGGAGCUCAAAGUUUGGAACAUAAUAGUUAUCUGCCAAGCACUCCAAUUUUAUCAAAUAUCGAUGCAGGUAAGUUAUCUCUAAUUGUAAAGUUCCGAACGGUGAACGAAGGACCUCAGGGCUCCCUGUCGAACGCAGCCUUGGGGGAGUUCUUUCAGCUAUGGGAUGAAUUGAGGGGGGUGGAACUGGAAGACAGACGACGUGAUCCUGUGGAAAUUGUCAGUGGAUGGUCAGUACUCUGCUUCCUCCGCGUACAAGGCCUUCUUCUUGGCCUGCGAAGAUUGUCCUUUUGGUGAACUGUUGUGGCACUCAAAGGCUCCGUCGAGGAUACGUUUCUUCAUGUGGCUAGCGCUCAAAGGCAAAUGUUUGACGGCGGAAAAUCUGGCAGAGCGUAAUUGGCCACAUGAUGAUGUCUGUCAGCUAUGCCGGCGCGAGAACGAGGACGGCCAUCAUCUAUUUGUGUCCUGCGAUUUCACGACGGAAGUGUGGCAGCGUGUUAGGGCGUGGCUGAAUGCAGAUUUCCCCUUGCCAAGAGAAACUGUGUGUCCUCUGUUUGAAUGGUGGCUGAAAAUCAGAUCGACAUGCCGGACGAGCUAUAGGAGCGAUUUUGAUUGUCUUUUCAUGUUAAUCUGCUGGCUGGUGUGGAAGGAGAGAAAUGCGACAGUUUUUCAAAACAUUUGUAAAUCAGCUCAGCGGCUAGUUCAGGACAUCCAGGAGGUAGCCGGGAUCUUCUCCCAAUGUAGCGAGUAAUCAGCUUCUGAAGUUUGGGUCGCUGUUUUUCUUUCUUCAGCUAGUUUUGUUAGGCGCGGCUUGCCGGCCUGACGCGGCACUUUGUUGUCGUUGUAACUGUUAUUUGUUUGAACUUUAUUUUCUUUCAUACUUAAUAAAACUAGCAUGGUGGUCCGCGCAGAUUGCACGA